UCUCUGUACGGGAAGGAUGAGAAGCUUCGACUAAGGUUCGAUUCGAGCGCACCGAGAAAGCGUUGCCGCAGGCAACGACACGAGGGGCGAAGCGCGCAGCCCUGAAUAAUCCUUCCCCCACCACCA
rnacentral:sRNA from 1 species